rnacentral:rRNA from 1 species
AUUGAACGCUGGCGGCGUGCCUAACACAUGCAAGUCGAGCGGUAACAGGUGUAGCAAUACAUGCUGACGAGCGGCGAACGGGUGAGUAAUGCUUCGGAAUCUACCCAAUGGUGGGGAAUAACCAGCCGAAAGGUUGGCUAAUACCGCAUACGUCCCACGGGAGAAAGCAGGGGAUCGCAAGACCUUGCGCCAAUGGAUGAGCCGAAGUCGGAUUAGCUAGUUGGAGGGUAACGGCCUACCAAGGCGACGAUCCGUAGCUGGUCUGAGAGGACGACCAGCCACACUGGGACUGAGACACGGCCCAGACUCCUACGGGAGGCAGCAGUGGGGAAUAUUGGACAAUGGGGGAAACCCUGAUCCAGCGACGCCGCGUGUGUGAAGAAGGCCUGCGGGCUGUAAAGCACUUUUAGU